AUGCCUGAGAAAGUGCACGUGAAGAGGAAGAGGUGGAAACUUGCCUUUCAGGGAGAUAUUGCCCAACUCAUGUCUCUCGUCAUCAAUACUUUCUAUUCUAAUGAGGAGAUUUUCCUUCAGGAAUUGAUCUAAUGUUUAUGAUGCAUUGGACAAGAUUUGCUGUGAGAGCCUUACAAACCCUUCCAAGUUGGACAAUGGUAAAGAGCUGCAAAUUGAUAUCUCCAUGUUUGGGCAAUUUGGUGCUGCCUUUUUUUCUGCCUACCUUGUGGCAGAGAAAGUAGUUGUGAUCACAAGGCACAACAAUGAUGAAGAGUAUGCCUGGGAGUCUCCACUGGGGGUUCCUUCACUGUAUGUGCUGACCAUGGAGAGCCCAUUGGCAGGGAUACCAAAGUGACCCUCCGCCUUAAAGAAGACCAGACAGAGUACUUAGAAGAGAGGAAGGUCAAAGAAGUAGUGAAGAGCACUUCCAGUUCAUAGGCUAUCCCAUUACCCUUUCUUUGGAGAAGGAAAGAGAGAAGAAAAUCAGUGAUGACAGGCAGAGGAAGAGAAAGGUGAGAAAGAAGAGGAAGAUAGAGAUGAUGAGAAAAAGUCCAAGAUUGAAGAUGUGGGUUCAGAUGAAGAAGAUGAGAACAGUAAGGAUAAGAAAAAGAAAACCAACAAGAUCAAGGAGAAAUCAUUGAUUGGGAAGAAUUAAACAAGACCAAGAACAUUUGGAUCAGAAAUUCUGAUGACAUUCACCCAGGAGGAGUAUAGAGAAUUCUACAAGAGCUUCACCAGUGACUAGGAGGACCAUUGGGCAGUCAAGCAUUUCUUUGUGGAAGGUUGGUUGGAAUUCAGAGCAUUGCUAUUCAUCCCUUGUUUGGAUCCUUUUGACUUCUUUGAGAAUUAGAAGAAAAAAGAACAACAAACUCUGUGUCCAUCAUGUGUUCAUCAUGGACAGCUGUGAUGAUAUUGGAGUAUCUCAACUUUAAUCCUUGGUGUGGUUGACUUAGGAUCUGCCCCUGAACAUCUCUCAAGAAAUGCUCCAACAGAGCAGAAUCUUAACAGUCAUUCACAAAAACAUUGUUAAGAAGUGCCUUGAGCUGUUCUCUGAGCUGGCAGAAGACAGGGAGAAUGGCAAGAAAUUCAAUGAGGCCUUAUCUAAAAAUCUAAAGCUUGGAAUCCAUAAAAACUCCACUAGCCAGCGACACGUGUCCUAGCUGCUGCAGUAUCACACCAGUCUGGAGAUGAGAUGACGUCUGUGUCAAAAUAUGUCUCCUGCGUGAAAGAGACACAGAAAUCCAUCUAUCGCGUCACUGGUCAGAGCAAAGAGCAGGUGGCCGGCUCUGUGUUUGUGCAGCAAGUGCAGAAGCGGGCCUUUGAAUUAGUAUAUACAGCCAAGCCCGCUGAUGAGUACUACAUGCAGUAGCUCAGGGAGUUUCAUGGGAAAAGCCUGGUCUCAGUUACCGAGGAGAGUCUGGAGCUGCUUGAGUGA